rnacentral:rRNA from 1 species
CAGCAGUAGCCGCGGUAAAACGUAGGGUGCGAGCGUUAAUCGGAAUUACUGGGCGUAAAGCGUGCGCAGGCGGUUUGUUAAGACAGAUGUGAAAUCCCCGGGCUCAACCUGGGAACUGCAUUUGUGACUGGCAAGCUAGAGUGUGGCAGAGGGGGGUGGAAUUCCGCGUGUAGCAGUGAAAUGCGUAGAUAUGCGGAGGAACACCGAUGGCGAAGGCAGCCCCCUGGGCCAACACUGACGCUCAUGCACGAAAGCGUGGGGAGCAAACAGGAUUAGAUACCCCAGUAGUCCCUGUCUCUUAUAC